GUGUGCAAGUAAAACUUCCUGAGCGCGUCCGAUCUCGUCGAAUCUCCGAGGCUGUGGCAGGAUUGAGCCUGGUUAGUACUUGGAUGGAAGACUGCCGGGGAGUAACCAGGUGUUUGUCGGCU
rnacentral:rRNA from 1 species